GGUAGAGUAGAUGGCAUUCGUAUAUACUAUACUUGUGACCUGGUUGGUCGGUUCUCCUGUUUGCAUCGGUGACCUGUUUGGUCGUUCGUUACUUUCCGUAUAUUGACCUAUCUUGGUCGGUUCACGUUGUUACUUGAUGACCUAUACGGUCGGUUAGCCCCGAGGGGCGGUGAUUGUCGGCUGAUUGCCGACGGUUGGCUAUUGAUCAUAUCUGCAUUGAUCGCCACAGCUCGAGUGCAUUUCACGUACACCAGCGGGUUGAUCCCCCGCAGGAGGGUGUUCUUUUCCGGAAAAGUGGUCGUACAUCCGACCCGUGAGCCCAGCGGUGUUCUCUCUGUGCUAGGGUUACAUGCCAGGUGUGAGCAGGUAGUGGCUUUUGCCUGAGGUCCUUAGACCGACACGGCGGUUUAGAUUGGGUACUUUUGGACUACUUGUCCGGUUGACGCAUAUAGUUAUAGUAGCGGUUGUUGCAUGUAUACUUGUAGUUCCUUCUUUACACUUGUCUUGCUACUAUAGUUUUGAUAUCCCUGUAUGUAUGCUUUUCGUACUAGUUACAGUAGCGGUAGUUGUUCUCUCAUAUCUAUAUCUCAUUCGUCAUUAUCGUUGCUACUGUAUUUCACUUACCCAUAUACUAUUGUUUAUCUUCCUGAUCCGGUGAGUACUCCUCGCCCUCGUCGACUUGCGGUACCCACUGGGAGGGAAGACAUGUUUACAUGUUCUCACCUCCCCCACCAUUUUUCAGGUAUCGCGGGCGAUGUUUAGUGGGACGAGACGUGAGGUACGUGUGUAGCGGUCGAUAGAGCUUCCGACCCAGGUUAUUUCGAUUUAGCUAUUACCUUUUUUAUUUCUGUGGAUAUAUAAAGCUUAGUCGGUUUACAUGGUUCAGUUUUGUGUUAUUAUCUGAAUAUCUGAGUUUUCAGUUGGUUUUGGAAUGUAAUAAAGGAUUUGUGUUUUCUUGAAAUAAAAAUGGUUUUCUACCCCUCGUGGUAGCGUUUUAAAAGAUAAAAGUUCCCGUGUAGGGAACAGUUUUCAAAGGGUUUUCUGUAGAUUUUGUAUCUUAGUAUUUCAAAACUUGUUUCUGUAAUUGGAAACAUUUUAACUGAUAGAUGUGAAUUUAUGUUUAAAUAUUGAAUGGAAAAAUAUGAAUCUGUGGUGAAUGGUGUAUGAAUAUAUAUAACUGUGGUUAUUUGUAUGUUCAUCUGGUUGUGGUUGUAUCAUGUUUGAACUCUUGUACUUGUGCGACGCCGUGCAAAUACAGGGGAGACUCUGUCCGUGUGAACGGUGGAUCUCCUGUAUUUGUGGCGGAUCUGGCAUACCCUGGGGUCAGGUUUUAAAAAAAUUCAGACGCUUUUCCGCUAUGCUUUAAACUAA
rnacentral:lncRNA from 1 species